ensembl:lncRNA
GAGGGAAGCCAUUUUUCUGCAAUGGAAUUAAAUGGCCAAGUGGGUUUUUCCUUUGUUGCAAAUGGGGAAUGUUUUUCCUUUGACUCUACCAUCCAGUUCAGGACGUCUCAGUGUGUUUAACAUUUGUCAACAGGCCCAAGGACUCACAGUUGGAAGACUGGAGAAGACUUUUUAAAAAGAUCUGGAUUUUUCCUUAUGACUUGGAAUCCAUCUUUGUCUUGUAUAACUAGGUCAUAGCACACCAUUCAUGUCAGCAGUUAACAGUUUUGAAUUCCAAAAAAACCUAAAGCAGUAAACAGUCCUCAGCGAAGCUGCCUUUUUGCCUACCCAACCCUGGAAAGUUUGCAGAAGUGGAAGGAGCAGAACGUGAGGGUGUAACUUACAAAAAGGUUCUGGGCCAGAGAAGGGGCGACAGCCGGGCACCCCCCGAAUGGACAAUUUUUCCUUCUGUCGACGGCAGGGGCAGGCCUAGUUUGACCCUGACAAUCCUCCCAUUAAGCUGCACCCUGGAGGGCUCCAGCCAGUUUCUCCCCUCCCUGGAUCCAAUCAGGGAGCUGUUGGGUGCUCAUCUGUGGUCUGGAUGUGGUUCUCAGCGCGGUGUCGGGACCCACCUGGCUGGACUGUACCCCUCUCCCUGUCCCCUCUCCCUGUGCUUUGGUCCCUUUUCUUUGUCCCCCCACCAUCACCUCCUGGGGCAGGGAGGGUGGGGCAGUUUGUCCUCUUGCUGUUCCUGCUGGUCCCUCGAGGGCGCCCCGCCCACUGGUCACCCAGCGAACGUGGGGCGGGGCUGCUCCUGGCGCCCGGCCCUGAGGCCUGCAGAGAGAGGGCCACGCCAGCGGAAGGGCCGGCCAGGAGGUGGCAGGACUUGCAUUACUACUGAGUCGCUGGCGUCCCCGCCUCUUCCGGCCCCUCCGCCCGGAACCCUAGUGCAGAACGUGACCUUUCGGACCCUCUGGGUGGAGACACAGCCUCUGCCUAGGCUGUGCAGUGAGGCGGCCCCACCAUCUCAAGUCGCCUGGCCCAGUGCGUCUCUAGCUGGCAUGUGACCUCCAGCAAACUCCUGCACCUGAGCGCUGGGAGGAGCAGGUCCGGCAAUAGGCAAUAAUUUUUUUUUUUUUUUUUUUGAGAUAGUUUCACUCUUGUUGACCAGGCAAUGGUGCAUCUGGGCUCACCGCAGCCUCCGCCUCCAGAGUUCAAGCGAUUCUUAGCCUCAGCCUCAGAGUAGCUGGGAUUACAGGCAUGUGCCACCAUGCCCGGCUAAUUUUGUAUUUUUAGUAGAGACAGGGUUUCUCCAUGUUGGUCAGGCUGGUCUUGAACUGACCUCAGGUGAUCCGCCCGCCUUGGCCUCCUGAAGUGCUGGAUUCCAGGCGUGAGCCGCCGCGCCUGGCCGACAAUAACGUUCUGAGUUGUUGCUGAGUCUGGCUUUUGUGAGGGGAACUUUUAGCACUCAAGGAGUGGCCUUGCCUCUGGCCCGUCCCCAAGUGCUCAUGGGCAGCCAAGGCCGGGGGACUGCUCGGGCUUGGUAGAUGUACUUGCCAGGCCAGCUCCUGUCCCGGGGACCUCAGGGAGUAGCUUCAUCCCUGAAGGCUCAGUGUCUCCUGCCUCAUGUGGGUGGCCCCUCUGCAGGGUUCUCAGGCACCCAGGGAAGUGGGUGCCACAGCCUCACUGGGGCUGGCUGGGCUUUGCUCUGACAACACAGCAGUGGCUAGGCCCCUGCAGCUCUCCGGGGCUCGGUUUCCCUGUUGGCCGCACUAUGGCGUAGGCCCCGGUGUGGACACCGAUGAGCUGACCCCCCCCACAAAUGCCACUCGGCCGCUCCCCCAGGCUUCAGUGACCCAAGAGCCCUUGUGUGAAGAACCAGCUUAAAGAAUCUUGUCUUCUCAAACUCUCCAGGAAUUCCUGGUGACUGGAAGGGGAGUGACACGGGUUCUCAACCUCUAACAGGUAAGGGAGCUGCCUCCUGGGUGGGCGUGCCCAGUUCCUCAGCGGGCCUAGCGCGGCCCAGCCUCCGAGGAAGCUCCGAGCAGCUGGCUUAGCUCCGAGGUAUUUUUAGCUACAGAUCCAGCCCCUUCCAUCACCACAACAGUCGAGUCCAAAUCAAACGCGCUCCAGGCAGGUGGGACUGGGGUUCUGCCAGCCUCCUGGCCAGCAGGGGUGGGUAGGCAGACUGGGGCCAGUAUCGGCUGUUCUGCCUGGGCCCAGGCCGGGCUGGGAAAGCACACUUGUUCUCAUUUCCGGCCUCCACUUUCGUGCCAGCUUGUGCUGUCAUAAGCAGAGGUUCACAGCCCCAUUUCUUGGAUGGAAAAAGUGGACACUGAGGUCUGAGGCUUUUGAGGACAGUCAGGAGCCCCCCUUUGGGCUCGAGUGACGCACUCACCAGCUUCUGGUCCUCUUCCUCCACCACCUGGAAUGCCUUGGCUACCUCCUGUGGUCCUAGGGAACCUCAGCCCCAGCCCUGCCUCCCCAGCCAGUCACAGCUCCUCCCUGGUCACCCUGGGGACCUCAGGGCCCGGCUGGUGGCUGUGCUCCUGUCCUAUCCCCCAGUCCCAUGGAGCCUGGCAGGCAACUCCUCCAUGAUCUGAACCCCGUUACCUUGACAGCCCUGCCUGGCCUCCCCUCUCAUGGCCCAGCCACCCCAGAACCUGAAGAGGUUUUCUAGCUGCCGUGCAUUUGUCAGGCCGGGUUACCCACCCUACUUUUCCUGCCUGCCCUCCAGUGCUGCCAAGCCCAGUGUGCCAGCCAGCACUCAGCCUUCUGUAAAGGGUUCCCCUCUCCCAACCUGACCUCCUGGAAAGCUGGAGCAUAACUGCCUCUCAAUAAACGU